UAAGUUUCGUAGUCAAAAGGGAAACAGCCCAGAUCAUCAGCUAAGGUCCCAAAGUGUAAGUUAAGUGGAAAAGGAUGUGGGAUUUCUAAGACAACUAGGAUGUUGGCUUAGAAGCAGCCACUCAUUUAAAGAGUGCGUAAUAGCUCACUAGUCGAGUGAUUGUGCGCCGAAGAUAACCGGGGCUAAAACUUACCACCGAAGCUAUGGCAAUGCGAAUGCAUUGGGUAGAGGAGCAUUGUGUAUGAAGAGAAGCUAGAGCGAGAGCGACAGUGGAUUGUACACAAGAGAGAAUGCUGGUAUGAGUAGCGAAAGUUAGGUGAGAAUCCUAACCAUCGAAAGUCUAAGGUUUCCUGAGGAAGGUUCGUCCGCUCAGGGUAAGUCGGGACCUAAGCCGAGGCCGAAAGGCGUAGGCGAUGGACAACUGGUGGAGAUUCCAGUACCACCUUUAAGCGUUUGAGAGAAGGAGUGACACAGGAGGAUAAGCUAACCGCUCGAAUGGAAGAGAGCGGCCAAGCGUCAAGUAGGGAAGCAUAGUAAAAUGCGUGCUUCUAGUAACUAUGAGGCGUGACGGGGACCGAAAAUAAGUAGGGAAGUAGCGGAUUUCACACUGUCGAGAAAAGCUUCUAUCGAGCAAGAAGGUGCCCGUACCGUAAACCGACACAGGUAGACGAGGAGAGAAUCCUAAGAUGAUCGGGAGAAGUGUUGUUAAGGAACUCGGCAAAAUAACCCCGUAACUUCGGGAGAAGGGGAGCCUAACCCACUUUGAUGGGAAGGUUGCAGAGAAAUGGCCCAAGCGACUGUUUACCAAAAACACAGGUUUCUGCUAAAUCGAAAGAUGAAGUAUAGGAGCUGACGCCUGCCCGGUGCUGGAAGGUUAAGGGGACUUGUUAGCGCAAGCGAAGCAAUGAACUUAAGCCCCAGUAAACGGCGGCCGUAACUAUAACGGUCCUAAGGUAGCGAAAUUCCUUGUCAGGUAAGUUCUGACCCGCACGAAAGGCGUAACGAUUUGGGCACUGUCUCAACAACACACCCGGUGAAAUUGUAGUACUCGUGAAGAUGCGAGUUACCCGCGACAGGACGGAAAGACCCCGUAGAGCUUUACUGUAGCUUGACAUUGAACUUUGGUAUUGCAUGUACAGGAUAGGUGGGAGGCUAAGAAGUUGGGACGCCAGUCUCGAUGGAGCCACCCUUGGGAUACCACCCUUGUAAUGCUGAAGUUCUAACCAGUGGCCAUAAUCUGGUCAUGGGACAUUGUCUGGUGGGCAGUUUGACUGGGGCGGUCGCCUCCGAAAGAGUAACGGAGGCGCCCAAAGGUUCCCUCAGAAUGGUUGGAAAUCAUUCGAAGAGUGUAAAGGCAGAAGGGAGCCUGACUGCGAGAGAGACAUCUCGAGCAGGGACGAAAGUCGGGCUUAGUGAUCCGGUGGUACCGAGUGGAAGGGCCAUCGCUCAACGGAUAAAAGCUA
rnacentral:rRNA from 1 species